rnacentral:misc_RNA from 1 species
AGAGCAAAGGACAGGCAGCGCCCCACAGAAGCUUGCUUCGUGGAGGGCUACCCUACUUCGGUAGGGUUUAGAGCCGUAGCACCUCUCGGAGAAGUGCUGUCCUGAACUCCACCCUUGAAUAAAUUACCUUUGUUGCUUUGGCGGGCCGCCUAGCGCCAGCGGCUUCGGCUGUUGAGUGCCCGCCAGAGGACCACAACUCUUGUUUUUAGUGAUGUCUGAGUACUAUAUAAUAGUUAAAACUUUCAACAACGGAUCUCUUGGUUCU